rnacentral:lncRNA from 1 species
GCCCAGCCUCUGCCACCCCUGGGUUGGCCCAGGAGGGCCCCUCUCCUACCCACAGUCACCCCACAAGGGAGAGGCCUGGGGUGGAACCAGGAGCACGCCCUGCACGCUGAGGCCCGGCUCUGCCCACCAGCCCAGACCCGUGGCUCCCUGGACGUCGCCCAUGGCAGCUCUGGCCUGGCCCUGGCAGGUCGCAGCCUUGCUGAGUUUCCAGGAAAUCUCUGCCCAAAUCGUGUAGCUUCAGAGCAUGUGAGGAAGAUCGCCUUCUGUGUCCUGCACGUCCACACCAUGGGUGCCCCAGGCCGGACGCAUGCUUCCCUGGAAGAGUCAGGGGAAGCUCGGCCAGAGCCAUCAGGCUGAUCCAGAGGCCUGCAGCACUGGGGCCUGAGACCAGCGCUGCCCAGCCUUCGACGGCGGGAUCCUGCAGGGCCACCAGAGCUUGCUUUCCUGAGCCAUCUCCGGAAUUCUCCGAGAGCCAGGCACAGUGGUGCAGGCCUACGACUCCAGCGACCCGAGGCUGAGGCAGGAGGGUUGCAAGUUCAGAGCCGGCCUGGGC